GGUCCACAAUUGCGGCGGUACUUUGCAAUUUACUCUGGCAAGUAGGCUCGUUGGCGCGCUUUCUGGUGCGAGCAAGAGGCGUAGCGAUGUCAGACACACCAUUGCCGGCGGGGAGCAAAAAGCGACGGCUCAUUCUGUGGCGGCAUCUCGCGCGCGGAGGCGACACCGGAGCACGGGAGGGUGCGGACCCUGACAAGGCCGCUGCCGCUUCCACCACUCUUCGCGCGAACGCUGCCCUCGUACCUUCGACGCUAGCCGACUGUUUGACAUCAGGCCUUGGCCUUGGCAGCGAGGCCAUGCAAACCACGCGGGAUCCCACGGUGCGCCCCCUCCUUCCCCGGCCGCAUUCAUGGGAUCAUGCCGCCUGGGACAACAUGUGGGGCUACAUUUCCGCAUGGCGAGCCACAUCAGUUAAGAGCACGCCAUGUGUUCGACGGAAUGUCCGGCCGCCAGGAGGUGGCCACCGGUAGAGUUCUGCGCGUCGUCGAUGACCACACACUUACCAGAGAAUCACUCAUGUUGGUGCCCGAGUGGAGUUCCAGUCAUGGUGAAGGACAGACCAAGGACGAAGUGCGCUGCAUAUCCAGUGCCUUUAUGAUGGCUGCUGCCGCCUUUACAUCUAGUAUCGAUCAUUGUCAUUGCUCUGACACCUCAACAACAAAUCCAUGAGGCCAGUCAUCUCAGAACUGGAUGUCAAGGAAGAAUUGGAGCUCGCCCCUGUCGGGGGUUCAUCAAUUUUCCCCAAGUUGGGCCUGGAUUGUACUGGAAACAUUUUGGUUGAAGUUUUUCUCCAGGACAUGGUGUCGGACAUGAGGUUGCUGACAAUGUGCUCACUUAUGGUUGUGGCUUGCCACUUUUCUUAGAGCUGGCUGGUAUUCUGCUGAUGUGGUGUCUGGUGAAGUCUUCUCAAGGGCGUGGUGUGGAAUGACGAGUUUGCUGAUCACAUGUUAACUCAUGUUGGCAGCUUGUUUGCUGAUCCUGCUAAUGAAUUGGAGCAAACACUAUUGCCUCUAUUUUGACACUACCAGCUUGUUCAGGGCCAUAGAAUCACUUGGGACUGGGGAACAACAACAUGGCUGCCAACGGCGACGAGACAUUACAUGCUUUGGCUCUGUGGUAUGCUUGCCUAAACCACUUUAAUGCACUUAGUUGAAUCAAAUAACAAGUCUUCGAACUAGUUCUGUCAUUCAUUUGGGAUAAUUUGUCUUCUGUUGUUCUAAUGAUGGAGGAUGUUUUAUGAAGCUUCGUUCUGUUCCA